UACGUAGGGUGCAAGCGUUAAUCGGAAUUACUGGGCGUAAAGCGUGCGCAGGCGGUUUUGUAAGUCUGUCGUGAAAGCCCCGGGCUCAACCUGGGAACCUGCAUUGGAAACUAACGGGCUCGAGUGUGGCAGAGGGGGGUGGAAUUCCACGUGUAGCAGUGAAAUGCGUAGAGAUGUGGAGGAACACCGAUGGCGAAGGCAGCCCCCUGGGCUAACACUGACGCCUCAGGCACGAAAGCGUGGGAGCAAACAGG
rnacentral:rRNA from 1 species